GCCAACCGGGAGGCCAGCCUGGCUAUGGAGGAGGUCAACCUGGUUACGGAGGAGGUCAACCUGGCUACGGAGGAGGUCAGGGAGGCUACGGAGGAGGUCAGGAUUAUUACGGAGGAGGUCAACCUGGCUACGGAGGUCAAGGAGGCUACGGAGGAGGAGGUCAAGGAGGAGGACAAGGAGGAGGAGAUAUGAUUUCGGGACUCAUUGGAGGAUUUCUCGGAGGUGGUGGAGGAGGAGGGCACCAGCAGCAGCAACAACAAGGAGGAGGAGGAGGAGGAGGCAUGAACGACCUCAUCACCGGAAUGGCCUCGAACUACAUCGGCGGAAUGAUUGGCGGAGGUCACAACCAGAACCAAGGUCACGGGGGUCACGGAGGUCAAGGGGGCGGCGACUUUAUCUCCGGCAUGGCGUCUUCCGUCAUCGGGAAUCUGUUCAGCGGAGACUCGGGCGAAGCGACCAAACAGAAAACGGGAUUUGACGACAGGAUGGUUGCCGGGAUCGUCUCGAAUGUCGUCAGGGGAAUUAGGGGCCGCCCCCAGCUCCCCCAAGGCGAGGCUGACGGCGUGAAUGACGACGUCGUGGCGUCUGUGACCUCGUCUGUCAUCAAGGAGAUUGUGAGCCAGGACAGCGAGGGCAAAAUCCUGUCUUCGAACGACCCCAACGUGAACAGCUCCAUCGUCUCGAACAUCGCCUCGAAGAUCGUGCAGAAUAUCAUGACCUCGGACACUCCAGAGGGACAGGAGCUGAAAGCCGCAGCGCGCGAGGGAAGAGACGUGGAAGGCGGCUUAGUUGGCGGUCUCGUUUCCGAUGUCAUUUCCGGACUGAUUGGUGGACGCGGAGGAGGAGGGGGAGGAGGAGGAGGAGGAGGCAUGAGGAACGACCUGAUAGCCGGUAUGGCGUCGCAGUAUAUUGGGAGUAUGCUCAGUGGUGGAGGAAGUCACGGAGGGGGGGGAGGAGGAGGCCAGAGGAACCAGGACGACGUGCUGUCCGGCAUUGCGUCCAACGUCAUCGGAGGUUUAGUCGGUGGAGGAGGAAGUGGAGGAGGAGGUGGAAGUGGAGGCGGCUCCAUGUCAGGCGGAGCCAUCGCCUCGAACAUCAUCGGCAAGAUUGUCAGUAAUAAGCUCGGACAAGGAGUUGUGGGGGAUGUCGUGAAAGAAUCCUCGACUGACGUGUUGGCCGAGGUGAUGGAGGGAGCCAUGGGGCCGCAGUUCAGUCGCAAGGAAGAUGGCGAAGUGGUCGAGAAUCUGACGCAGAGCCAAGUGGACCCCAGCAAGCACAGGAUCUUCCCCGAUCCAGGGUCACUCAUUUCCUCAUUCAUGAGUAAGGGCGCCUACCAUCUGCGCAACCGACUCAUGGGCGGCGGACGAGCCAGGGCGCAGCAUGUGCAUCCCGCCCACGCCGUCUUCAGGUUCGGCGAGCGCGGCUCCGGCCUCCGACCCCGCGGCGAAGUGCAAGAUUUCUAUUCCUUGAGACAGCAGUGCCUCGACUCUGGCACUCUGUUCGAGGACCACGACUUCCCCGCCGAGGACGCCUCCAUCUUCUUCUCCAGGGCGCCGCCCAAGCCCUUCGAGUGGAAGAGGCCGCAUGAAAUUUCAGACGAUCCUUGCCUCUUCAUCGAUGGCGCUUCGAGGUUUGAUGUGAAGCAAGGAGAAUUGGGUGAUUGCUGGCUCCUCGCUGCCAUUGCAAACCUGACGUUGAACAAGCGCCUCUUCUACCAGAUCGUCCCGAGUGACCAGGGCUUCGGAGACAACUAUGCCGGAAUAUUCCACUUCAGGUUCUGGCAGUACGGCCGUUGGGUUGACGUGGUGGUGGACGACCGCCUGCCCACCUUCUACGGGCGGCUGGUGUUCAUGCACUCGGAGGAGAGGAACGAAUUCUGGUCCGCGCUGGUGGAGAAGGCCUAUGCUAAACUGCACGGCUCCUACGAGGCCCUGAAGGGAGGCACAACCUGCGAGGCGAUGGAGGACUUCACCGGCGGCGUCUCGGAGAUCUACGACCUGACCAAGGCGCCCCCGAACCUCUUCAACAUCAUGCUGAAGGCCUACGAGAGGGGGUCGCUCAUGGGGUGCUCGCUGGAGCCCGACCCCAACGAGGUGGAAGCCCGCUGCAACAACGGCCUGGUCCGCGGCCACGCCUACUCCCUCACCCGCAUCAAGUACUGCGAGAUCGAGACCCCCCGCGUCUCGGGCAAGAUCCCCCUCGUCAGGAUCCGCAACCCCUGGGGUAACGAAGCCGAGUGGCUGGGGGCCUGGAGCGACAAGAGCCAGGAGUGGCAGUUCAUCCCCGACGAGGAGAAGGAGGAGAUGGGGCUGACCUUCGAGCACGACGGAGAGUUCUGGAUGUCAUGGAAGGACUUCCUGGCCAACUUUACCAUGCUCGAGAUGACCAACCUCAACCCCGACUCCCUCGAGGACGAGGACAUGACAGGCUCCGUCAGGCACAAGUGGGAGAUGAGCGUCUUCGAGGGCGCCUGGAUCCGCGGCUCGACGGCUGGAGGAUGCAGGAACUUCUUGAAUACCUUCUGGCACAACCCCCAGUACAGGAUCACGCUGACGGAGGUUGAUGACGACGACGAUGACAAUAAGUGCACAGUCAUCGUGGCGCUGAUGCAGAAGAACAGGAGAUCGCAGCGGAAACUGGGUCUCGAGUGCCUCACCAUCGGCUUCGCUAUCUAUCACCUCCGCGACCCAGAAUCGGCCCCAAGGCCUCUCGAUGCCAGUUUCUUCAAGUACACAGCCUCCGUCGCCAGGUCCCCCUCCUUCAUCAACAUGAGAGAGGUCUCGUGCCGUUUCAAGCUCCCUCCUGGCACGUACUGCAUCGUCCCCUCCACGUUCGAGCCUAACGAGGAGGGAGAGUUCAUCCUUAGGGUGUUCUCCGAGAAGUCCAACGAGAUGGAAGAAAACGACGAAGAAGUUGGACUUGGCGAAGUUGAUGAAAGGGGAGACGAAGAGGAGAAGGAGGAGGUUCAGCCCGAGGACGAAAUUCAGGCCGCUGAAGCAGACGAGAGAAUUCGCAGUUUCUUCCAGAAAGUUGCAGGGGAAGAUUUGGAGAUCGAUUGGAAGGAGUUGCAAGAUGUGAUGAAUUUUGCAUUGAAGAGAGAAUUCAACUUCGACGGCUUCUCGAAGGACGUCUGCCGUGCAAUGAUCGCGAUGAUGGACGUUGACCGGUCUGGCAAGCUCGGGUUGCACGAGUUCUUGCAACUGUGGACGGAUAUUCGCGUCUGGAAGAACGUCUUCCGCCUGUACGACAAGGACUCCUCCGGCCACCUGUGUUCAUUCGAGCUCCGCCAGGCGCUCAACUCUGCAGGCUACAGGUUGAACAAUCACGUGUGCAACGCCCUCAUGUUGCGUUAUGGGGACGACCAGGGACAGAUUUCCUUCGACGAUUUUAUCAUGUGCAGCGUCAAGUUGAAGACCAUGAUGGGCAUAGGCGACGACCCUGAGAAACUACAGGAAUUUUACGAUGAAUUAAUGAGCGAAAAUGAGGCAAAACAACAACAACAGGAGGAGGAGGAGGAGGAGGAAGAAGAAGAAGAGUAGGAGAGAAACGGCAAUGAAGAUCCGAUGUCAUUGAUGGCGUUGGUUGAAAGGAUGGAUGUGAUUGACGAAACGUUUUUGGAAAAGGACUUGGAGAAGACAAACUCGGCGACGUUUACGCUCGAAGAAUGGAUCGAGAACACCAUGUAUUCGUAGGAAAGGAAGGAGGAGAAAGA